rnacentral:sRNA from 1 species
AUCUAGCCCCGAUAGUAACGAUAUCCUUUUUCUGGCUUGUUUAGCCGGGUAAAGAUAUAGUAAAUAGCGGGACUGAUG